GAGGCGUGGCUUCCGGAGCUAACGCGUUAAGUCGACCGCCUGGGGAGUACGGCCGCAAGGUUAAAACUCAAAUGAAUUGACGGGGGCCCGCACAAGCGGUGGAGCAUGUGGUUUAAUUCGAUGCAACGCGAAGAACCUUACCUACUCUUGACAUCCAGAGAACUUAGCAGAGAUGCUUUGGUGCCUUCGGGAACUCUGAGACAGGUGCUGCAUGGCUGUCGUCAGCUCGUGUUGUGAAAUGUUGGGUUAAGUCCCGCAACGAGCGCAACCCUUAUCCUUUGUUGCCAGCGGUUCGGCCGGGAACUCAAAGGAGACUGCCAGUGAUAAACUGGAGGAAGGUGGGGAUGACGUCAAGUCAUCAUGGCCCUUACGAGUAGGGCUACACACGUGCUACAAUGGCAUAUACAAAGAGAAGCGACCUCGCGAGAGCAAGCGGACCUCAUAAAGUAUGUCGUAGUCCGGAUUGGAGUCUGCAACUCGACUCCAUGAAGUCGGAAUCGCUAGUAAUCGUAGAUCAGAAUGCUACGGUGAAUACGUUCCCGGGCCUUGUACACACCGCCCGUCACACCAUGGGAGUGGGUUGCAAAAGAAGUAGGUAGCUUAACCUUCGGGAGGGCG
rnacentral:rRNA from 1 species